AUCAUUACCGAGUGCGGGUCCUUUGGGCCCAACCUCCCAUCCGUGUCUAUUGUACCCUGUUGCUUCGGCGGGCCCGCCGCUUGUCGGCCGCCGGGGGGGCGCCUCUGCCUCCCGGGCCCGUGCCCGCCGGAGACCCCAACACGAACACUGUCUGAAAGCGUGCAGUCUGAGUUGAUUGAAUGCAAUCAGUUAAAACUUUCAACAAUGGAUCUCUUGGUUCCGGCAUCGAUGAAGAACGCAGCGAAAUGCGAUAACUAAUGUGAAUUGCAGAAUUCAGUGAAUCAUCGAGUCUUUGAACGCACAUUGCGCCCCCUGGUAUUCCAGGGGGCAUGCCUGUCCGAGCGUCAUUGCUGCCCUCAAGCCCGGCUUGUGUGUUGGGUCGCCGUCCCCCUCUCCGGGGGGACGGGCCCGAAAGGCAGCGGCGGCACCGCGUCCGAUCCUCGAGCGUAUGGGGCUUUGUCACAUGCUCUGUAGGAUUGGCCGGCGCCUGCCGACGUUUUCCAACCAUUCUUUCCAGGUUGACCUCGGAUCAGGUAGGGAUACCCGCUGAACUUAAGCAUAUCAAUAAGCGGAGGA
rnacentral:rRNA from 1 species